rnacentral:lncRNA from 1 species
CCCAUAACCCUCUCCAUGUUGAUACCAAAUGUAGUACUGUGGUGUAAAUCCUUUGUUUACUAAAUGCUUCCAUACAGUUUCACUACGUGCAAAUUUUGAAUUCUUGCAUUUCCGACAGGGGCAGAACAUCUUACCGCGUUCCUGUGUGAUCGGUGUACAGCCCGCCUGGUGCAUGAAUGUCUCUAGCCCGCUCAGAAAUGCG